CGAGGGGAUGAGGUGAUCGCGGCGCGGGUUUCGGUCCGUGUCGAGGAAAGUCCGGGCUCUAUCGGGCAAGGUGCUGGCGAAAGGUCAGUCGGGGCGACCCGCAGGAAAGUGCCACAGAAAGCAAACCGCCGACCGCGGCGUGCCGUCGUCGGUAAGGGUGAAAGGGUGUGGUAAGAGCGCACCGUGCCUCUGGUGACAGAGGUCGCAAGGUAAACCCCACCUAGAGCAAGGCUAAACAGGGGCCCGCAUCCGUUCGGAUGCAAGGGGUGGCCCAUCCCGCCCCGGGUAAGCCGCUUAGACGAAUGAUCACCACCUGGUCAGGGCAACCGAUCCAGGGACAGGACCCGGCUUACGACCCCACUCGGCCU
rnacentral:RNase_P_RNA from 1 species